rnacentral:rRNA from 1 species
AUGUGGGUGCGUCGAGUCCCCGGCCUACGCAGGCUGAGGGUGGUGGUGUGGAUGGCGUACAUAGGAGGCGACGCCCUGGCAAUCUACGCCCUUGCCACCCUCUUCAACCGCCAUAAGCAGUGGACGACGGAUGCGGUGGGUGAGAGCAGCAGCGACCUGGAGGUGAUAUGGGCGCCUGUUCUUCUCAUCCACCUGGGUGGCCACGUGACAUUGAGCGCCUACUGCCUGGAGGACAACGAGUUGUGGCUACGACAUGUCAUAACUCUGCUAUCUCAGGUCACCGUCGCCCUGUACGUCUUCUGCAAGUGGUGGUCCGGCGAGUUGAGGCUGCUGCUGGCGGCAGUUAUGCUCUUCGUCUUCGGCAUCCUCAAAUUUGGUCUCAAGCCAUGGACCCUCAGAAGAGCUAGCUAUAGUCAGAUGCUCGCUUCCACUGAUGUGUCCCUACCAAGAGACGGGGGGAAAACAAGUCGUGAUGGAGCAACAGUGGACAGCCCCCUUUCCCUUGAUGAAUAUGUGACACAAGCAAAGGCGACAAUGUGCGAGCAACAAGCUGCUAACCCGCCUACGGCAAUAGCAGUCAGGCACAUUGAUUACUUUGUGGACCUGUCCGCUCCGUACGGUGCUUGGCUAAGUGACCUGUGGUAUCUCCAGAGCAACAACAAGAGGACGAGGAAUGCAUCAUACAAGAUGUUGCAAAUGUGCUUUGAUCAAAUAUUUGAUCUCUUGUACACCAAAAUGGGAUAUGUUGAUGGAGACACCAAUGUGGGAUUCACUUCUUUUGAGAUUCUGUUUACGCUUUUGCUUCCAUUAGUGGCUUUAGCUUCCCUGAUGCUCUUCGCCACAAGCAACAAGCAUGGUUACAACAGCAGGGACGUCAAGGUGACAUACAUCCUUUUCUCUUGCACUACUCUACUGGAGUUCUUACAGUUAUGGUGUGGUGUUGUCACUACAUGUAUUCCUUGCCUGAAAUUCAUCGACGAGUAUCUCGAGGGAUGGCAUGACUCUGGAGAGGUUCAGUGA